rnacentral:tRNA from 1 species
GCCCCAGUAGCUCAGGGGAUAGAGCACUGGCCUCCGGAGCCGGGAGCGCAGGUUCGAUUCCUGCCUGGGGCACCA